CUUAGGCCCCACUCAGGGUCCCCCUCCCUUGGCACUGAAGGGGUUAAAACCCCUUCAGUUACCUUAAUCCAGCUCCGCACUCCCUCGGCGCUGGUGACCUCUCCUCCACCGCCGUCAGCUCCCGGGUGGAGCGGAAUGGAUUUUCGCAUCCAGCGUCGCAGAAGCGCCUCUAGCGGGUUUCAGGAAGACAGCCAUUAAAGGUUUACAGAAACCGCUAUGUUUACAUCGGAGGUGUUAAAACCUGGGGUCCUGGCACCCAGACCACUUCAUUGAGGAGAG